rnacentral:rRNA from 1 species
CCUCAAACCGACACAGGUAGGUAGGAAGAAGAUUCUAAGGCCAACGGGAGAAGGGUUGUUAAGGAACUCGGCAAAUUGACCCCGUAACUUCGGGAGAAGGGGUGCUCCAGAGAUGGAGCCGCAGAGAAUCGGCCCAAGCAACUGUUUACCAAAAACACAGGUUUGUGCUAAAUCGAAAGAUGACGUAUACGAGCUGACGCCUGCCCGGUGCUGGAAGGUUAAGAGGAGAUGUGCAAGCAUUGAAUCGAAGCCCCAGUGAACGGCGGCCGUAACUAUAACGGUCCUAAGGUAGCGAAAUUCCUUGUCAGGUAAGUUCUGACCCGCAUGAAAGGCGUAAUGAUUUGGGCACUGUCUCGACAGCCCGCCCGGCGAAAUUGUAGUACCGGUGAAGAUGCCGGUUACCCGCGACAAGACGGAAAGACCCCAUGGAGCUUUACUGUAGCCUAAUAUUGGGUUUCGAUGUUGCAUGCACAGGAUAGAUGGGACACUGGGAAGCAAGUGCUUUGGCAUUUGUGGAGUGGCCGUUGGGAUACCAUCCUUGCGAUAUUGGAAUUCUAACCUGCGCCUUUGAAUCAAGGCGGGGGACAUUGUUAGGUGGGCAGUUUGACUGGGGCGGUCGCCUCCUAAAGAGUAACGGAGGCGUUCAAAGGUUCGCUCAGCUUGAACGGAAGUCAAGCAAAAGAGUGCAAACGCAGAAGCGAGCCUAACUGCGAGACUGACGGGUCGAGCAGUAACGAAAGUUGGAGUUAGUGAUCCGGUGGUAUGUGAGUGGAAAUGCCAUCGCUCAACGGAUAAAAGUUACCCUGGGGAUAACAGGCUGAUCUCCCCCAAGAGUCCACAUCGACGGGGAGGUUUGGCACCUCGAUGUCGGCUCAUCGCAUCCUGGGGCUGUAUUCGGUCCCAAGGGUUUGGCUGUUCGCCAAUUAAAGCGGUACGCGAGCUGGGUUCAGAACGUCGUGAGACAGUUCGGUCCCUAUCUGUCGUGGGCGCAGGAUAUUUGAUGGGAGCUGUUCCUAGUACGAGAGGACCGGAGCGGACGUACCUCUGGCGCACCAGUUGUUCUGCCAAGGGCAUAGCUGGGCAACUAUGUACGGAUCGGAUAAACGCUGAAAGCAUCUAAGCGUGAAGCCGACCCAAAGAUAAGAUAUCCCAUUGUUUCAAACAAGUAAGACCCCUUGAAGACUACAAGGUUGAUAGGCACGAUGUGUAAGUGGAGCGAUCCAUUCAGCAAGCGUGUACUAAUAGGUCGAGGGCUUGACCG